GAUUUAAUAUAAACAGAUACUGAAUAAUCAACAUGAAUUUCUCGUGUAGCUAUUAGUUUCUUACUGGAUCUUUAGGCCAAAGCUUUAUACAAAGACUAUGAAUACAGAUUAAGAAGAUGGCUGUGUUUUCCAGCAUGUUAACUAAUUUCUAGCUUGUCAUUAUUUACUAACUAACCAGCUUCAAGAUGGUUAUAGCAGUUUUUAAGGUUGACUCUUGGAAAUGAUGGUUAUUCAACUAGCCAAUAACCUCAAUCUCAAUUCUUUUUUUUUUUUUUUUUUGUCAACAAUCGUUAGAUAAAAGAUAAAACGCCUGCUGACAUCCUCUAUACACAUUUUAUGUCAUGUAAAUAUUAACCUAAAUAUAAAUCUAAUCAGCAUUUAUUCAGGUAAGAGCUUUUUUUAUCCAAGUGCUAACCAAUUUCCGUCUUGUUGACUGGAAUACCAUAGGAAUAACUUUUAAAGAUCGAAUCUCGUCAGUAUAGCCCCAUUAGUGUGAUAAACAAAUAUAAUGUGCAUAUAAGCACAAGUGUAUAACAUUAUCACCUGGUUGAAAGGAUGAAUUUCGAUCUGAAGAAACCAUCAACUCGACGUCCAAAUAAUUAUGAACAAGAAAUCUCAUGAUUUGGCGAGUGUGGUCGCCAUCUAGCGGCGCGAAUCCUUCUCUGCGAGGGUCAACGGUAUAAACGGUCAGCCUCAUCCGAAACAGCUUGUGGAGACUAUGCGGUGCGAAUUAAGGGUUGAAUCCCAUACAUUAAAUAAAAACAAAUGUUAAUGGGGUAUAAAAAGUCGAUUUAUGGUUAUCAGUAACCAUAAAAGUUAGACAAAGUUAGUUAAAGUGCACUUACACGGACGCUCACGAGCAGGAAAGUCCGUUCGCCUCAGAAGGGGAAGAGGGGAAACGGGGCGGAUAGAGGAGGGCGGUUCUUCACAUCGUUCACGAACAGACAAACAGACGGGGACAGAGAGACGGACAGAAGGAGCAAGAGCUGGAGGGAGGGAGGGAGGGAGGGGGAGUGCAGGAUAAAAGGGGAGUGAGAGAGAGAGAGAAAGAGUGAAAGGGUGGCAGUGUGCUUUGUCAUGUCUGAGAAAAAUGAAACCAAGCAGCUCUCAGACACACUUCUAACAUAAAAAAAAUAUUGAACAAAAAAAGUUAUGAAUGAUUAAUAAAAACAACACUCAAAAAUACA
ensembl:lncRNA